rnacentral:rRNA from 1 species
UACGUAGGGUGCAAGCGUUGUCCGGAAUUAUUGGGCGUAAAGAGCUCGUAGGCGGUCUGUCGCGUCGGCUGUGAAAACCCGGAGCUCAACUCCGGGCCUGCAGUCGAUACGGGCAGACUGGAGUUCGGCAGGGGAGACUGGAAUUCCUGGUGUAGCGGUGAAAUGCGCAGAUAUCAGGAGGAACACCGAUGGCGAAGGCAGGUCUCUGGGCCACUACUGACGCUGAGAAGCGAAAGCAUGGGGGAGCGAACAGG